CUGGCCAAGAUUUUUUUUUUAAGGCAGAGUGUAAUCUAUAUCAUUUGCUGUUAAUGCAAGAAAAUUUCUAACCCUAUCUCCCAGAAUUUUCACCAGUCUUUUUUGUUAUUUCCUCUCUUAAAGGCAGGGUCUCCUACAACCACCUCUGCCAUAGAAUUUCUUCUGUGUUUGAUAGUAAUCAUUUUCUUCCUUCUCAAAGGGCAUCCUCUCUCAAAGAGGACUGGAGCACCUUAUGAUCACAGGCUGAUGUGUAAGAACAGAAGCUAGACCUUAGGAAGACCUCAUGGUAGAGGAAAUUGGAUUCGGGACAACUCUUUGGACAGGCGUGGGGAAAAUCCCUUUCUAUAGUCAAAGACAAAGAAUCAGGGGAAAGGAAGGGUUAAUUUGGAAAAUGGGUAGUUAUAAAUGAGACUCUGGGAAUUAGAUAUGCGGGGAAAAAAAAAAACAAUACGGUGGAGAACAAGGCUGCUUGGCUUUGUCCAUCUUCCCAGGCACUGGAAUAUACUUGUCCUACUGCUUGCCUCACCCCAUCUCCCAUCCUCUCCACCAAGGGCUAACCUCUGUCAGUGUCUCCUUCUCCCCAGAGCUGCUUAUCAGUCUGUAUGCAAGCUAGAAUAACUCCCUUUCCUUCCCUUCCCCUAAGGAAAACAUUGUAAGUUAACUCUCUUCCCCUGGCUACAUUCACACACCCAACACUUUCCUCUCCACGGUUUCUGGACUCUGCUGAUAGUCUCAACUCUGGAGAAGGAGGGGGAGAGGAGGGAUGAUGCAUCAUCUCACAUCCCUGCCACGUGUUUCUGGGAAUUGUUCUUGGACACCCCUUGCCAGCACCUUGUCCUACUUCCACCCGUAAUCAUUGAAGGCCUCUGGCCGCUUUCCAGCCCAAAGCCAGGGAACCCUGGAAAGUGGGAGGCCCUGGAGGAGCCACGCCUUCCUGAAACAAAUGGAGGUAGAUGUAUGAGGUGUCACUCACCAGAAUGGGGCCAUGUGGACAUCUGUCCUGUCGUCAGCCUCCAGGUCCAGCAGCAAUUCAGAAGGAUGGGCAGAUACAAGACUGUAGAUGGUCUGGGUAAUGGAAGGGAGAACCACUUCCCCCCUUCCAGGUUUCCAGGAACCAGGAGGAUAGAUGAGUUCACCUCCAUGCACACGAGUCCUAUUUCAGAGCUUGGGAAGUUGGGGACUGUUUUGGAAAAUAAUUUCAGUCAGGGUGGGUAGAUGUCAUCCAAGGAAGACGUUAGACUACUAUUAUCUGUUUGUUUAGUUUUAAUGAGACAAGUGCUGGUGCUUUUAAUUUCUCAUUCCAGGAAAACGUGACCAGCUUUUUCCUGAGGUGUUCCAACCCUGGGCUCAAGUCACAAAGGGUGGACAGACUGCACGGUCUGGGCUUGUAACUAAGUCUCCUCUCUGUAACUUUGGUCCUUGCAAGCCAAAACAAAUCCAUAAGCCACUGCUUCAGAGUCCCAGAGUUGUAGGAGCACCGCCUUAGGGGAAAAGAGAAAACAUUGUGGUCAGUUUCAAAUGGACCUGCGAAGAAAUGUUCCUAGAGCCACUUUGCAGUGCUCAGAAAAGGCUAGUUGGGGUUGGAGGAUGUCACUAGGAAUGUGGCCUCGAUGAGACGUUCAGCAGGAGUGCUAAGAGCUAAAUGUUGCUUAAACCUGCUAAAGGUAGAACCAGAGUGCAGGACGGAGACUAUAGCAGGGGAGGGCUAAGUUUAGAUACGAGGAAGAGCUUCCUGGCAGUAAAGGGGGCCCAGGCACUCAAACUGGAAUAAUGGCAAGAAGUCACAGAAGUCACUUUUUUCCAAGUCUAAAGUGUAGUCUUCCAGGGAGAGUCUAAGUGCAUUCUUGCCUAGAGAUAGGGGGACGAAAUAAAUGGCUUUUCAGGUCUAGAGGGGUUAGUUUGGAUUGUCACAGUACCUUAGAGGGAGGAGGAAAGGGUAGGAACUGUAAUUGUAGUUUUCAGCUUCUCUGGACAAAUUCAGCGAACUGAACACGGGGCUGCCGUCCUGUGGUGGCGAUGCUCCUGAAAUGAACAAGGAACAUGUGUCUCUAUAAUUGUACAUACCAGAGAAGGGAGCGAGGUGGGGUGGGAGAGCUAUACUGCACACAUGCGAGUGGGGAGGCCAGAGACCGCCCCUCGUUCCCUCCAGACACCCCGAUACUGGCCCUGCCUUGAUCUUCUUUCUGUGGACCAUCAAGGGCCAUACAGGUCUGUCUUACUGAGGGCAGUGGAUCAACCAUCUACCAUGUCCCUUUAAGGACAUGAGCCUUUUUAGAACAUGUAAGCUGUGUCCUUAAGGAAAAGAGUGGGGCAAUUGGUGAAAAGAGGCAUAGCGGGAUUCUGGAAAUGGCAGCCUGGCUAAGGAGAGUGAAGAGAAGGGGUUUAAACAGAAACACACCUUAACAUUCAAGACUUGGAGUUGCCCUAGUGUCCUCCUCAGUGUCAGGCCCUUGUAGGCUUUGGGCAGGCCCUCUCCUCUCCUGGCGUGCCUCCCUCUCCUCAGGCUUCCUCUGCUUCCCAAGAUGAUCUAAACUAACAGUCUGGGUGGAGGGGCUAAAUAAUUUUAUCCUCCUCACCUCACCCCAACCCUCCCCUAGGUAAAAGAUGAGAAAAAUAUUCAAGAGGUAUUUGACCUGAGUGACUAUGAGAAGUGUGAAGAGCUCCGGAAGUCCAAGAGCAGGAGCAAGAAAAAUCAUAGCAAGUUUACUCUUGCCCACUCCAAACAGCCCGGUAACACGGCACCCAACCUGAUCUUCCUGGCAGUGAGUCCAGAAGAGAAGGAAUCGUGGAUCAAUGCCCUCAACUCUGCCAUCACCCGAGCCAAGAACCGUAUCUUGGAUGAGGUCACCGUUGAGGAGGACAGCUAUCUUGCCCAUCCCACUCGAGACAGGGCAAAAAUCCAACAUUCCCGCCGCCCCCCAACAAGGGGACACCUAAUGGCUGUGGCUUCCACCUCUACCUCAGAUGGGAUGCUGACCUUGGACUUGAUCCAAGAGGAAGACCCUUCUCCUGAGGAACCAACCUCUUGUGCUGAGAGCUUUCGGGUUGACCUGGACAAGUCUGUGGCCCAGCUGGCAGGGAGCCGGCGGAGAGCAGACUCAGACCGCAUUCAGCCCUCCGCAGACCGGGCAAGCAGCCUCUCCCGACCUUGGGAAAAAACAGACAAAGGGGCCACCUACACCCCCCAGGCACCCAAGAAGUUGAUGCCCACAGAGAAAGGCCGCUGCGCCUCCCUGGAGGAGAUCCUAUCUCAGCGGGACGCUGCCCCUGCCCACGCCCUCCAGCUGCGGGCUGAGGAACCCCCAACCCCUGCCCUCCCCAACCCAGGGCAGCUGUCCCGGAUCCAGGACCUGGUAGCAAGGAAACUGGAGAAGACUCAGGAGCUUCUGGCAGAGGUUCAGGGACUGGGAGAUGGGAAGCGAAAGGCCAAGGACCCCCCUCGGUCUCCGCCGGAUUCUGAGUCAGAGCAGCUGCUGCUGGAGACGGAACGGCUGCUGGGAGAGGCAUCAUCGAAUUGGAGCCAGGCAAAGAGGGUGCUGCAGGAGGUCAGGGAGCUGAGAGACCUGUACAGACAGAUGGACCUGCAGACCCCCGACUCCCACCCCAGACAGACCACCCCGCACAGUCAGUACCGGAAGAGCCUGAUGUGAGGGCAGGGUGGGGUCUGGAACUCGUCGGGUUGGACAGACUCUUAUCUCCAUGUUGCUGGAUAAAGCUUUUUUAUUUACCUCAAUCAAAAAAAACAAAAAUG
rnacentral:sRNA from 1 species